rnacentral:rRNA from 1 species
CCUACGGGUGGCUGCAGUAAGGAAUAUUGGUCAAUGGACGCAAGUCUGAACCAGCCAUGCCGCGUGGAGGAUGAAGGUCCUCUGGAUUGUAAACUUCUUUUAUUUGGGAAGAAACUCCCGAUUUCCAUCGGGAUUGACGGUACCAGAUGAAUAAUCACCGGCUAACUCCGUGCCAGCAGCCGCGGUAAUACGGAGGGUGCAAGGUCAAUCCGGUUACAGUGGGUUUAGGUGGUGAGUAAAGGCGCAGGUAAAAUCUCCGGGCUUAACCCGGAAACUGCCAUUGAUACUAUUUGUCUUGAAUACUCUGGAGGUGAGCGGAAUAUGUCAUGUAGCGGUGAAAUGCUUAGAUAUGACAUAGAACACCCAUUGCGAAGGCAGCUCACUACGGAAAUAUUGACGCUGAGGCACGAAAGCGUGGGGAGCAAACAGGAUUAGAUACCCCAGUAGUC